CACUUGGUGACUGCCGGCCAGGCCAGGGAGAGAAGCCAGGAGUCUAGGAGCCUGUAGCCCCGCCCCCGUCUCCGCCACACCCGGGCCACGCCCUCGUCCUGGCCCUGCCCACGCCCUGGCCCUGCCCCCUCACCCGACCCCAUCCGGGUCCCCACCUCCGCCCCAGGCAGCACCAACCUGGGGUGCGAGACCAGCCUGCGGUGCUGGGCUUCCAGGAGCUGCUGCUGCAGGAGGUAUUGCUGGUGCAGGGCCUGAGGAAAGAAAUGCCUGAAGAAGAGUUAAAAGCGCACUGCGGUUGAGGGAUUUUGCCUCUGGUGUGGAGGGCAAAGGGCAGACCGAAGCUGCUUGGCUCAAUGUGUCUUAUGCUAGUCUAUUCAGCCUUGUAUAUUACGUGCAUGUCACUGAUCAAUUUUUAAAAAUAAAUCUUUGCAAAAAGAAAUGAAAAUCCAAAGAAUUUCUGCCUGACUGCAAGUGAGCCAGAAAAGAAUUAUCUAGAACUUUAAUUCCCACAAGGAUUUCCAUAAGUCAGGCCUCUCUGCCUUAUAGAUUCUGGCUUUGGUGAGUCCGGGGGCUGCAGCAUGAGCAAGCGGCACCGGACCCCCUUCCCUUCACUCCAUGGUCUACCAUCACACAGGACAAAGGGAAGGAGACUGCCAGUGUGACAGAGGGAAGGAGGGCAAGAAAAGGGAAGCACAGUAGAGGGAUAAAGAAGAGAAGUAGAAGAUAAGCAUGUCUAUAAAGGAAAAGAAUGGGGUGAAAACGGGUAUUGUCAAGACUCUCACCCAGCACUGUCCAACAGAAUUAUAAUGUGGGCCACACAGGGAAUUUUACAUUUCCUAGUAGUCACCUUUUAAAAGUAAAAAGAAACAGUUGAAAUUAAUUUUAAUAAUAUAUGUUUCUGUAAUUCAUCAUAUCCAAAAUGUUAUUUCAAUAUGUAUUCUAUGUAAAAAAUUA
rnacentral:lncRNA from 10 species